AGUAACAGGGAUGGUUGGAAGUUGUAUUUUCAAACUUUGAAGUGUCGCUAAUACCUUAAAUUUGAUUUACUUGAUCUUAAAACUAUUUUUAAAUGUGACUUUAUAAAACCUGCAGAAACCGUGAUCAUAUGAAAAGGGCCUUUACUGUCAGCAGAGUGAACAAAGAAACAUUGUUUGUGACAGAAGCAGCCAGUAACUUCACCGCACUGAACACUUUAACAGGGCAAGGCCGUUGAAAAGUGACACAUGCAAAUAUAUUGAGUUUUUUUAUUUUGUUUUUUUUUCUAGAGGAGAAGCAGAAGUGUGAAGCCUGCACUGUUUGCAGUUCGUGCGCUUCCUCUGUGAUAUUGAGUAUUCUGUUUACAGCUGCAGUUUUGGGCUUUGCAUAUGCAUUUAUAAAAAAUAAAGAGAUAAUUAUAGCUGCUUGCCCUGAAGGUCCCCUACAUUUCAUCCAGAAUAUAAGGUAACAUCGCACCACAGACAUCACAGAUGUAAUGAACUCCGUUUACCGCGGUACUUAUCCUGGAUAUUUGUUUUUUUGAAGAACCAGCAGUCCUGGCUCCCGUGGUGUUCAAGGGAAACAAGACGCGGCGUAAGAAGAAGAAAACUUCUCUUGCAUAAGGUUCAACUCAGCAAUGAUCAGCAUGCGUGGAAGGGAACAUCUGGCAUUAUGUUUGACAGUUUUUUAAAGAAGUUUCAUUUUAAAGAAAACAAUGUGCGGAGGUUGUGACUGUUGGUUUGACCUCAUUGGAUCCGGUCUGUGAAACGUGUCAUCUGUCACCUGUGUCAACGAUGAUUUCAGGUACUUUGCGCAACCUUUUCAGAGAUACAAAAAAUGGAUGUUGUUUUCAAAAUCCAUUCGGCUGAAAGAUCUGAAAGUUUGUGCUCCUUCAGUUUGAACGGACAUGAUACUUCUGGUACUGAUGGCCUUUAAAUCUUGACUCAGCAUGGCAGCUUUUUUUAUUUAAUAAAUUGUCUAGCUUCUUUGUUCAAAAAUGCAUGUGAAUCUAAUUUUUCUAUGUCAUUUCUGGUUGUUAUGAUGAAUUGUAGUAGUAUGUGCUCAGUGUCACAGUAUUCUAAUGACACAUUGUCAUUGUGAGUGCUGUUUUUGUCUUGUCAAUGGGAAGUGGUCAGUGUUACCUAGAAAUGGACACACGAGCUCAGUUUCUGCAUAUCUGGAUAUGAGUAAAUACUUAAGAAACUGCUUCUAUUAAAAGGAUAUUCCACUGAAUUUUAA